rnacentral:misc_RNA from 1 species
GAUGAAGAACGCAGCGAAAUGCGAUACGUAAUGUGAAUUGCAGAAUUCAGUGAAUCAUCGAGUCUUUGAACGCACAUUGCGCCCCCUGGUAUUCCGGGGGGCAUGCCUGUCCGAGCGUCAUUGCUGCCCUCAAGCACGGCUUGUGUGUUGGGCCUCCGUCCUCCUCCCGGGGGACGGGCCCGAAAGGCAGCGGCGGCACCGCGUCCGGUCCUCGAGCGUAUGGGGCUUCGUCACCCGCUCUUGUAGGCCCGGCCGGCGCUUGCCGACACAUCAAUCUUUUUUCCAGGUUGACCUCGGAUCAGGUAGGGAUACCCGCUGAACUUAAGCAUAUCCAUAAGCGGAGGA